rnacentral:rRNA from 1 species
UGAGGAAUCUUCCACAAUGGGCGAAAGCCUGAUGGAGCAACGCCGCGUGCAGGAUGAAGGCCUUCGGGUUGUAAACUGCUUUUAUGAGUGAAGAAUAUGACGGUAACUCAUGAAUAAGCACCGGCUAACUACGUGCCAGCAGCCGCGGUCAUACGUAGGGUGCAAGCAUUAUCCGGAGUGACUGGGCGUAAAGAGUUGCGUAGGUGGUUUAUUAAGUGAAUAGUGAAAACUGGAGGCUCAACCUUACAGACUAUUAUUCAAACUGGUAAACUCGAGAGUAGUAGAGGUAACUGGAAUUUCUUGUGUAGGAGUGAAAUCCGUAGAUAUAAGAAGGAACACCAAUGGCGUAGGCAGGUUACUGGGCUAUCUCUGACACUGAGGCACGAAAGCGUGGGGAGCGAACC